rnacentral:rRNA from 1 species
AUGGCGGCGCGGCGGCGGCGGCGCAGCGACACCCAGCAGAUUAGUCGUCUCCCCUACCUACGCGCGCAGCAAUCAAGAACAACCGACAUGCUUGGCUCCACAGACGCCUCCGCCGAGCCGAAGCGUCCACGCCAUGCAGACGACGGCGCCGGCGGUGAUGCGGGCGAUGACCGGCUGAGCGCGCUGCCGGACGACCUCCUCUGCGUCAUCCUGUCGCGCCUCAAGGCCCAGCAGACGGUGCGGACGUGCGUGCUGUCCACGAGGUGGAGGCGCCUCUGGAGCGCCGUGCCGUGCCUCGAAAUCGACCGUAGGUAUACCCGCCGCGGUUUUGACGACUUCACACUUUCACAGCCAACCUCCUGCGCGGCCAUGAGUUUGCGCUCCUGGAUGAGCUCCGGCUGCACGGGGUCACCGUUGUCGUCGGCGACCGUUGGCUCCGUCGCGACAUAG